rnacentral:lncRNA from 1 species
AUAAGAUUCCUUCCCUCUGGUGAGGUGCAAAGGCGUGAACAAGAUGGUUUUCCGGGUGUCAUGUGAGAAGCAUUGAUCUACGAUCUGUUCCCCUUCCUGCUUCCUCUUCUCCCUUUUGCCCAUGUUCUGGUGCUAUCCAGAAGGAAAAGACUUUCUGAAGUGCUUCAUUCGUUAAGGGCACCGUUCUCACAAAGGAUCUUUCCCCUGCAAGAUGUCCACCAGCAGAUCCAGAUUUACAUUGUACCAGCUUAGCAAACCCGGUAGAAA